GACGAACGCUGGCGGCGUGCUUAACACAUGCAAGUCGAACGGAAAGGCCCUGCUUUUGUGGGGUGCUCGAGUGGCGAACGGGUGAGUAACACGUGAGUAACCUGCCCUUGACUUUGGGAUAACUUCAGGAAACUGGGGCUAAUACCGGAUAGGAGCUCCUGCUGCAUGGUGGGGGUUGGAAAGUUUCGGCGGUUGGGGAUGGACUCGCGGCUUAUCAGCUUGUUGGUGGGGUAGUGGCUUACCAAGGCUUUGACGGGUAGCCGGCCUGAGAGGGUGACCGGCCACAUUGGGACUGAGAUACGGCCCAGACUCCUACGGGAGGCAGCAGUGGGGAAUAUUGCACAAUGGGCGGAAGCCUGAUGCAGCAACGCCGCGUGCGGGAUGACGGCCUUCGGGCUGUAAACCGCUUUCGCCUGUGACGAAGCGUGAGUGACGGUAAUGGGUAAAGAAGCACCGGCUAACUACGUGCCAGCAGCCGCGGUGAUACGUAGGGUGCGAGCGUUGUCCGGAUUUAUUGGGCGUAAAGGGCUCGUAGGUGGUUGAUCGCGUCGGAAGUGUAAUCUUGGGGCUUAACCCUGAGCGUGCUUUCGAUACGGGUUGACUUGAGGAAGGUAGGGGAGAAUGGAAUUCCUGGUGGAGCGGUGGAAUGCGCAGAUAUCAGGAGGAACACCAGUGGCGAAGGCGGUUCUCUGGGCCUUUCCUGACGCUGAGGAGCAAAAGCGUGGGGAGCGAACAGGCUUAGAUACCCUGGUAGUCCACGCUGUAAACGGUGGGUACUAGGUGUGGGGUCCAUUCCACGGGUUCCGUGCCGUAGCUAACGCUUUAAGUACCCCGCCUGGGGAGUACGGCCGCAAGGCUAAAACUCAAAGGAAUUGACGGGGCCCCGCACAAGCGGCGGAGCAUGCGGAUUAAUUCGAUGCAACGCGUAGAACCUUACCUGGGUUUGACAUGGAUCGGGAGUGCUCAGAGAUGGGUGUGCCUCUUUUGGGGUCGGUUCACAGGUGGUGCAUGCCUGUCGUCAGCUCGUGUCGUGAGAUGUUGGGUUAAGUCCCGCAACGAGCGCAACCCUUGUUCACUGUUGCCAGCACGUUAUGGUGGGGACUCAGUGGAGACCGCCGGGGUCAACUCGGAGGAAGGUGGGGAUGACGUCAAGUCAUCAUGCCCCUUAUGUCCAGGGCUUCACGCAUGCUACAAUGGCUGGUACAGAGAGUGGCGAGCCUGUGAGGGUGAGCGAAUCUCGGAAAGCCGGUCUCAGUUCGGAUUGGGGUCUGCAACUCGACCUCAUGAAGUCGGAGUCGCUAGUAAUCGCAGAUCAGCAACGCUGCGGUGAAUACGUUCCCGGGGCU
rnacentral:rRNA from 1 species